rnacentral:lncRNA from 1 species
AAUAAUGUGAGUAUUACUAAGUUAUUAAGUAUUAUGUUCUAUCAGAAAUUUUGAAAUCUCAAAACCUUUAUCCUUGUAUAAUAACAUUAAAAUCUUUUACUUUAAGUUAAAUUACAGUAUUAUAAUUUAUAUUUUAGUUCAAAAGACAAUAAUUUUUGUCGAGCCUGCAACUUUUGUUGCAGAAAGCUCGACCUAGGGAUAGUGAUCUGGCGGCGGCGGCGGCGGGGGCGUUAGCUCACUUCUUAAAAGCUUUAUAUUUUAGAAGGUGGAAGACCUGGAUGCUUCAUACUUUGUAUAUGGAU